rnacentral:rRNA from 1 species
UACGAAGGGGGCUAGCGUUGUUCGGAAUCACUGGGCGUAAAGCGCACGUAGGCGGAUCUUUAAGUCAGGGGUGAAAUCCCGAGGCUCAACCUCGGAACUGCCUUUGAUACUGAGAAGCUUGAGUCCGGGAGAGGUGAGUGGAACUGCGAGUGUAGAGGUGAAAUUCGUAGAUAUUCGCAAGAACACCAGUGGCGAAGGCGGCUCACUGGCCCGGUACUGACGCUGAGGUGCGAAAGCGUGGGGAGCAAACAGG